UGCAGUUUACGUUGUUGUGAUAAGGUAUGCCUCCGAAACCUCCUGAAGAUCAACAAAGACUCUCCAUACCCUAUAUCGACUCAAUACGUCCCCGACGUAUAGAACGGUAACAUGUCUCGCCAAACAUCUGAGGAGCUUUGGUAUACAGAACACCAAACACCUAUGGAAAUCCUGGCUUCCUACGGA
rnacentral:ribozyme from 1 species